CCUAAGCCCAAAUUCACCAUUCACCUCCACCACUUUCACUGCUUCCAAAAUGAAUAAAAUAACUUGAAGGAAAAGAAGGAGCAGCAGCACAAUCAUACCCUUUUCAUGCUCCCUUUGGAAAAUUUUCUCUUCCACCAACUGUGUAUGAGAAAGUUCAUGUGGCGGAUCUGAACCAGUGAGAUUGUUACCUGGGUGGUAUAGUUGUGACAAAUUUUUGGUUUACAUUUUCAUUUUGGAUCCAUUGGGAUUGUUUCUGAUACCUCCCACUGAAUUGUAGCAUUGUGAUCUAGUAGAUCACACCUUCAAAUCUCAUUAUCUAGCUCAUUGUCUAAUUUAUUGUGGUCAUGGAGACCCUUGUUGUUGUUGAACAGCAUAAGAACCAAUACUACAGCAGGUGCAAGUCACAGAGCCAUGCCCAAUUUGGGGGUUCACCUUCUAGGGACUUUAAGGGGUUCAAUUGCAGGACUUUUGAGUCUGGGACAGGUAUAUUGCCAACUCCAUUGAAAUCUCAUAGUUCCCCUAAAACACCACCCCCUUUUUCUGCAAAUUCAAACUCUGAUAAAAAAAAGCAUAGGAUAACUACUCCUAAGAGCAACCCAAUUCCUAUCAUUGGCAAAGCUUGUAGAAAAGAGACAACUUUCAAUGAAGAUGUUUUGUUCUCUGGGUUAUGGGCUGGACCUACCUACUCAAAUUCACCUCCACCCAGUUCCUUGCCAAUUCCCAAGUUCUCAGUCCAACCAAAGAGGACUGUGUCUCUUGAUCUACCCGGUUCCUCCCCUGAGAUUGAAAUGCGCCCAGUGGCCAAGUCUGCGCCUUCAUCGGCCAACAGGGAGCAUUUGUUUUGUACAAGAGAUCUCUUUGUUAAUGCUGAUUCUGCCACUAAGACCCUGCAUCGCAUUCUCAAUCUUAACAUCAAUGAUGAGUGCAAUAUAAGGAGCGCUGGGCUCCUGUAGAAUGUCUCUUUUAAUGAAAUUGGAUUAGUGUUAGAUAUGUAUAGGGAGACCAAAUAAAAUUUUUAGUCUGAGUCCGUUUGAGUUUGUGUAGCUUUCAGUAGUGGUGGUGCCCUUGACAAUGGUGGCUGUGGUGGGUCAACAAUCUCCAGAUUUUGGAAAUCGGAUCAAGCUUAGCAGUAGAGAGGGUAACUGGGUGUAUACUUGAAGAAUCUAUUGAAAGCAGGCUUUGCUAUGGGUCGAUGGAAGCUUCCAUGAAAAUAUUUGUGAAGCAGAAUGGUGAUAACGAGUCGGAGUGGCAUGGAAUAGAUUUGGUUGACUGAGCUUUCAUCUAUUGGACCUGAAAAAAAUUACAUUCAAUUUGAAUCCUAAUUAAUGACAUAUAGUUCUCAGCAUCAUCUCCUCGUAGAAUGUUUAACUUCCCUUAAUCUGACAUAGGAUUUAGGCCUCCUGCUUUACAUACUAUGUAAAUACUUUAGAAGCUUGUACUUGCAAAAACCCUUAGAGUGCCCUUUAGUCUGUUCUUUUUUUUGGGUUUUCUUCUAAUCAUGCCUAAAGUACUUCAUCCUGAUCUACUUAAAAUGCAGACAAUCAGUCUCCUAGGUGAUAAGCUGUUUGCUAGUUACUACCUUCCCUGCCGGUCUUUCUUUCUCUCUGUUAGUAUUUUAUUCCUUAGCUACCCUCGUUAGGGUAUGGUUUGCCCCUUCGCUAUCUUUUCUGUUUUUUUUUUUUCAAAGAAAAGUUUGAAGGGACUUGUAAUAGUCUUUUGCAGCAUUUGCUUCAGUUAUUUUUUAGGUUAAUCCAUGUCAUUCCACCUGCUAGUAAGCCCCUUAUAUAUUUCAUUUCUGGUGCUGAGUAAUGCUUAUCUCCUUAGUCCUAGUCCUCACCUGGUUUAUCUUCAAUUUCCAUAGAGAGUGUUGACCUUGCCAUGCCAUAUUUAAGGGAGGCAAAACUAUACUGAGGCUGUUUCAGUAGUGACUUGUGAGACGUGGUCAGUUGCAAGUCAGUUUUUCUCGACAAAGACCCUUGUGGCUCGUAAAUUUGUCCGUGUUUCUUUCUUUCUGCUCGUGUAACUUGUGAAUCUUGUUUGAUCUACUGUAAUAAAAUGUCAGUGACUAUUAUCUAUGCACCAUUUAUGUAUCUGAAUUAAAUACUUAUUCUCUUCAUUAUUUUAUGUAGCGUU